GGGUCUAAAGAUGAGCUAUUUUAAUUGAAAUACUGUAGGGUCAUUCUACAGUGGUACUGGUAGCCUGGUGGUGUUUUUUGUUUUUAGUGGAAAAGGGAAAUGAAAUGGGAGGACAUUUCCAACGGGAAACCAAGGGCGGUGUUAGGGUGCCAACCAGAAGUGGCAUUGUUUUGUCACCAUUAGUAUUUGUGAUGUAAGACUACCGCUCAGUUCUGGCCUGCCGGCAGUCACGUUGCAGUCAGCCCCUCGCACGUUUGUCAGCAUCCGCGCACAUUGGUGGGAAACUGGUGGCAAGGGGACAAUUUCAUUGCUGCCAUGUGCAAGAACUAAUGAUCACCCAGGGCAUCUGAUUGGUGAGAACGUUGCUUGGGAAACAUAGUCAUAGGGACCUCCUGACGGAAGAUGCCAGACAUGAAAAGAGAAGAAUCAAAAUAAGAAAAAUUGGAGAACAGUGACCUUCCACUUUGGGGAAAGAAUUAAGAGCAUCACUGCACAGUGCUUGAAAAAUCAAGCUGUCAGAAGAAUGGCAGAAGAACAGAACACAUAGAAGAUAGAAGCAAUUAAAAUUAGACAACUGAAUGACCACACGAACUGAAAACACUGAAGAAAAUGGAAUGACUAGACCAGCAAGUUUUUCAUUGGCCACAGCACAGAAACCACUAUCCAUGUUCAAUUGUCAGAAUCAUCACUUUGCUCUCAGGAAUUCCUGCUCUCAAGGGACUGAGACACUGCAAUCGCUAUUUACUGUAACGAGAGGAAGAUGCGUAGCGUGGGAAGAUUUGCCAUACGAUGGGAACUGUGAAUCAAGGUUAAUUACCUAUGAGUGAUGAAAAUACUGUUGGAAAAAUACAUGCUGAUGAGCAGAAGGCACUGUUCUGUAUGCUUCUGCGCCUGACAGGAAAGCUGCAUGGAAAUCACACUACUCAGCUUCAAUCUGCUCCCACUGAUCCUACAAAGUGGAGCUGUGCUGGAACGGGACCCCAGGUGACUGUGUCACACCUGGCACUUAAGACAUUAUUAUGUUUAUAGCGAGCAGGUUUCUAAUGGCGUGGAAGCCUCCCAGUAUUUUGAAAGCCACAGCUGCACAGUGUGGUACAGUAAUUUGUUGUAAUCUAUUUAGCAAAGCACGAUUCGUAGGCUAUAUCACAACACAGACACAGCACAGACAAGGAACACACAGACAGAGCGUGGAUCUCAGGGCAGAGCCAGCUGAGGUAGCUUGGGGGAGGAGAAUUCCAGGACUUUCCCUCUGCGUAUACUUCUGCAUAUGGUCUAGAUCAGCAGCUCCUGAAGCAGCUAGCAAAACAGAUCAGCAGCAAUGGAAGGAGAAACCCUGAUUACAGAUCCCGUGUCAGAAAGCAAAGAGAAAUCUCCAAGCCUACCAUGUAAGACAUGGCUUUCAAGUAUUAUUUUUAAGUCCGGGGUGAUAGGCACAGUAAUACCUCACUUACAUGGAAUCCUGAAAUAAAGAUGCUCCUAACAUAAAACUGUCUGCCACCUUAAUGGAAGAAUUAAAGAAACUGUUUUGUAUAACUGUAGAAAAAAAAAACACCCUGUCUGUAACCCCCACCACACACACUUCAUCAAGGAAUUCAAAACAGCUGAAAAACUUCCUCAUUGAGAGUACUGGCAUUAUAAAAGAGAUUCUAAGCAUGUCUCAGAACCUGGAGAAAAUUACUUAGGACAUACAUACAUGUAUGCACUUAAAUAUUAAGAAAUCUUGUAUCAUCAAAUUCUAUACGUUCUGUAUGUCUGCACAGGUGUGUUUUUCAGUUAGGUGGAUUUGUGCAUUCUAAACACCUAAAAGACCUGCCACGCAUUGAGGUUCUCUGCAUUGGGAAGUCAUUCAAUGAUAAAACCAUAACAGAAACUGAAUUGCAGCAUUUUACGUUGAAUUACAUUAGC